GGCCGCCUGUCCCCCGAGUGGGCUCAGACUCGGACUCAGGUGCGGUCCCAUGCCCGCCACGCCGGCCGCCCCAGCUGAGCCGCUCAUGCCCGCCAUGGCGCCCGCGCCCGGGGACAUGCCAGCCAGCGACGGGCUCAUUCCAGCGCCCACAUAGGAUGACAUGUUCAUGGAGCCUGCGCUCAUGUUGCCGGAACCACUGCCCAUUGCAGCCGCGGACAUGCUCAUGUAAGUGUUCAUGCCAUUCAUCCCCAGGCUGGCGUUCAUGUUGCUCACGGAAGAGUAGCCCUGCGGACAGAGCCCGGGGAGGAGACAGGUUAGCACCUAGGCUGAGCUCGCCCGAUCCUCUCACCCAUAGGUUGCACCCAGUCCCCCGCCUUCGUGCAGGCCUCCGGGAUCUCUUUCUUUCCCUGGGUCCCAGUGCACCAACACCAAGUCCUCUGGGCCUCAGAGAGUCCUGGAAAGGUGGUAGCCCGAGGGCCAGCGGGUUGCCGUUCUGGGUCUGAGGCUCAGCCUCGCCCUCAUUCUAGAACUUUGGAGUCCUGGAUCGCCAACAAGUCAGGAGCCUCAAAUCCAUUUUACUCUCCCUAGGGGCUCCUCACACCAGCUGGCUAGCACACUGAGUCAGCACCAAGGCCGGAAAUCUCCGUUGCUACCCCUGGUCGCCAAAAGCCACCCUUGGAACGUCACUAGGGCAGUCUCAAGUGGAAAUCAUCUCAGUGUCCCUGUUCUGGGGCUUCAUACUGGGACCCGACUCUUUAGUUACAGGGGAGUGAAGCGCAGUGCCUGCACAGAGUCCGGGAGCAGCUGGAGGCACUGCGUGGAGGAAUAAGGAAGCUCCGAGAAAGGGUCGGUCUGCGCAUGACGCCACCUGGGACAUUGGAGAAGUGGUGUCUUUGAUCAUCCCAGCACCACUGGCGGCUGGCUAUCAGUGAACAGCCCGGGAGCAGGAAGCCCGAAGACUGCGGAGCGAGGGGAAACAUAUGGCAGCCCAGGGUCUCUCCCUAGGCUUCAGACUUUGCAGGCGUUCGUUCUCAUUGGCGCGUACACCGGUCCUCCCCGGAGCCGCUGCGAUUUCUAAAGGUUUAUUCAGAGCCUUGGCACCAGAACUUCAAGCUGGAAUGCUGCGAACUGCCCCAGGUGCCUCUCUCCAGGAAAAAGUUCUCGGGAGCUCCAGGCUACACACAGAUGUCUGCGCUGAUCCCCAGCAGUUUAAACCUCACCCGGGGCCAAGCCAUACAAAGCGUUCCUUUGCCUGCGCCCUCCCUUUGGUCCUUUCUUCAGUCCAGCACCGCAGCGGCAUGUAAAGCCUCUUUACAAAUGACCACUGAUCUCCUAGGUUUGUUUUUAUUUUAGAAAUCGCACUGGCUGCAAUAGGGCCCCUCUGAUUUGGCCUCAAAUAUUGGCUAUCUCUGAUGUCGCUGGGGAGAGAUUGAAUUCCAGUGUUCCUUAGCAAAACUGCUCCCCAGAGUUUUCUGUCAAUGAAACUAGCUGAAGAGGACAUCAAUAAAUAGAACUCGGUUUCC